rnacentral:rRNA from 1 species
AUUGAACGCUGGCGGCAGGCCUAACACAUGCAAGUCGAGCGAGCGGCGGACGGGUGAGUAAUGUCUGGGAAACUGCCUGAUGGAGGGGGAUAACUACUGGAAACGGUAGCUAAUACCGCAUACCAUCAGAUGUGCCCAGAGGGGAGUAGCUAGUGGGUGGGGUAACGGCUCACCUAGGCGACGAUCCCUCGCUGGUCUGAGAGGAUGAACAGGCACACUGGAAAUGAUACACGGUCCAGACUCCUACGGGAGGCAGCCGUGGGGAAUAUUGGACAAUGGGCGGAAGCCUGAUGCAGCCAUGCCGCGUGUGUGAAGAAGGCCUUCGGGUUGUAAAGCACUGUCAGCGGGGAGGCGUUACCCGCAGAAGAAGCACCGGCUAACUCCGUGCCAGCAGCCGCGGUAAUUC